AUUGAACGCUGGCGGCAUGCCUUACACAUGCAAGUCGAACGGCAGCACGGGAGCAAUCCUAGUGGCGAGUGGCGAACGGGUGAGUAAUAUAUCGGAACGUGCCCAGUCGUGGGGAUAACGUAGCGAAAGCUACGCUAAUACCGCAUACGAUCUAUGGAUGAAAGCGGGGGAUCGCAAGACCUCGCGCGAUUGGAGCGGCCGAUAUCAGAUUAGGUAGUUGGUGAGGUAAAGGCUCACCAAGCCGACGAUCUGUAGCUGGUCUGAGAGGACGACCAGCCACACUGGGACUGAGACACGGCCCAGACUCCUACGGGAGGCAGCAGUGGGGAAUUUUGGACAAUGGGCGCAAGCCUGAUCCAGCAAUGCCGCGUGCAGGAUGAAGGCCUCGGUUGUAAC
rnacentral:rRNA from 1 species